CAAACGGCCCUUUUCAGGGCCACCAAAUAUCUCACGAAAGAGUUGG
rfam:Culex pipiens quinquefasciatus supercont3.239 genomic scaffold, whole genome shotgun sequence.